rnacentral:rRNA from 1 species
CGUAGGUGGCAAGCGUUGUCCGGAAUUAUUGGGCGUAAAGCGCGCGCAGGCGGUCCUUUAAGUCUGAUGUGAAAGCCCACGGCUCAACCGUGGAGGGUCAUUGGAAACUGGAGGACUUGAGUGCAGAAGAGGAAAGUGGAAUUCCAAGUGUAGCGGUGAAAUGCGUAGAGAUUUGGAGGAACACCAGUGGCGAAGGCGACUUUCUGGUCUGUAACUGACGCUGAGGCGCGAAAGCGUGGGGAGCAAACAGGAUU